CCAGCGGCUUGUGUCCAUGAACAUGCCCCUCAACAGCGAUGGCACCGUCACCUUUAAUGCCACAUUAUUUGCUCUGGUGAGAACAGCCCUCAAAAUCAAAACUGAAGGAAACUUUCAGCAGGCCAACGAAGAACUUCGAGCCAUUAUCAAGAAGAUAUGGAAACGAACCAGUAUGAAACUGCUGGACCAGGUCAUUCCCCCUAUAGGAGAUGACGAAGUAACUGUGGGCAAGUUCUAUGCCACCUUUCUUAUCCAAGACCACUUCCGUAAGAUAAUGAAGCGGCGGGAAGAGUACUAUGGGUACCGGCCCACAAAGAAGAACGCCACAGAGAUACAGGCAGGGCUGCGCAGCAUGGAGGAGGAGCCUCUCCCCGAGCUCCAGCGGGCUAUCUCUGGAGACCUUCCGACAGGAGAGGAGAUAGACAGGGCUGUGGAAGAGGGCAUCUACAGGCGAUCAGGGGGCCUGUUUGGGAACCAUGUGGAUCCGUUCAGCAUGGAACGAAACACCACCUUGCCGACUCAGGUGACCAGCCAUCGGCCCUUGCAAGUGUCCGAGAGCCGUACAGAGGAUGCAGAGCAAUCUCCUGGCUCCAUCUUUCUCCACAGCACAGAGUUCUUUCCCACAAUGCCAAACAAGGCCAACACCAGCUCCAAUAACAAUUGCAGACUAGGACCCCCAGAUGCUUUGCUGGAGUCACAGGGGCAGCAGAGAAGGGCCACAACAAGAGGUGAACACAGGAGCUCACCACUAUAAGGAAACAGCUGAGACUAAGGACAUUUAUGACAACAACAUCAAGCCAGAACACUUGUGAAUGGCUACGGUGAGAAGACAGUCAAAAUGCCCAAUGCGCAAAUUCUUUAAGCUGUUCUAAGACUAAUUGAAUUAAAUAAGCCUUCUUUAGGCCCUGUUCCCAUGGCAGAAUACGUGACGACAUAACAUGACACUAUAUGGAGCCAUUCUCCAGUGGAAAGGAAAUGGGACAUUACUGUCAGUGACCUAGCCAGAAAACUCAACAAAAAGGCUUUUCUAGUAAUAAAAAAGAGAAAUAACUUAUUUAUGAACGCA
rnacentral:lncRNA from 1 species